rnacentral:rRNA from 1 species
AUUGAACGCUGGCGGCAGGCUUAACACAUGCAAGUCGAGCGGAGAUGAGGUGCUUGCACCUUAUCUUAGCGGCGGACGGGUGAGUAAUGCUUAGGAAUCUGCCUAUUAGUGGGGGACAACAUUCCGAAAGGAAUGCUAAUACCGCAUACGCCCUACGGGGGAAAGCAGGGGAUCUUCGGACCUUGCGCUAAUAGGUGAGCCUAAGUCGGAUUAGCUAGUUGGUGGGGUAAAGGCCUACCAAGGCGACGAUCUGUAGCGGGUCUAAGAGGAUGAUCCGCCACACUGGGACUGAGACACGGCCCAGACUCCUACGGGAGGCAGCAGUGGGGAAUAUUGGACAAUGGGCGGAAGCCUGAUCCAGCCAUGCCGCGUGUGUGAAGAAGGCCUUUUGGUUGUAAAGCACUUUAAGCGAGGAGGAGGCUACCUGGAUUAAUACUCUAGGAUAGUGGACGUUACUCGCAGAAUAAGCACCGGCUAACUCUGUGCCAGCAGCCGCCGUAAAAC